CAGACAACCCAAUUCAGUUUUAAUUCCCGGUAAACAAUGGCUAAUUAUUUGGCUAUAAAUAAGUCUCAUGCAAUAUUUGGGAUAUACUUAUUCUAAAAGAUUAUUCACUGUGUUUUAGAAACUCAGAUUUUCUUGGGUAUCAUGUA
ensembl:miRNA predicted gene, 24275